rnacentral:sRNA from 12 species
CGGGCUGGUCGUAUGACCAUGGUCCACCGAAACGGCGUGGGGACCCCGC